AACGAACGCUGGCGGCAUGCCUAGCACAUGCCAGUCGAACGAGACCUUCGGGUCUAGUGGCGCACGGGUGCGUAACGCGUGGGAACCUGCCCUUAGGUUCGGAAUAACUCCCCGAAAGGGGUGCUAAUACCGGAUAAUGUCUUCGGACCAAAGAUUUAUCGCCUUUGGAUGGGCCCGCGUUGGAUUAGCUAGUUGGUAGGGUAAAAGCCUACCAAGGCGACGAUCCAUAGCUGGUCUGAGAGGAUGAUCAGCCACACUGGGACUGAGACACGGCCCAGACUCCUACGGGAGGCAGCAGUGGGGAAUAUUGGACAAUGGGCGAAAGCCUGAUCCAGCAAUGCCGCGUGAGUGAUGAAGGCCUUAGGGUUGUAAAGCUCUUUUACCCGGGAUGAUAAUGACAGUACCGGGAGAAUAAGCGCCGGCUAACUCCGUG
rnacentral:rRNA from 1 species